UACGUAGGGCGCAAGCGUUGUCCGGAAUUAUUGGGCGUAAAGAGCUCGUAGGCGGCUUGUCACGUCGGGUGUGAAAGCCCGGGGCUUAACCCCGGGUCUGCAUUCGAUACGGGCUAGCGAGAGUGUGGUAGGGGAGAUCGGAAUUCCUGGUGUAGCGGUGAAAUGCGCAGAUAUCAGGAGGAACACCGGUGGCGAAGGCGGAUCUCUGGGCCAUUACUGACGCUGAGGAGCGAAAGCGUGGGGAGCGAACAGG
rnacentral:rRNA from 1 species